CCACCUGAUCCCAUCCCGAACUCAGAAGUGAAACAGACCUGCGCCGAUGGUAGUGUGGCGUUGCCCAUGUGAGAGUAGGUCAUCGUCAGGC
rnacentral:rRNA from 1 species